GGGCGCUUGGUCUAGGGGUAUGACGUCUGCUUCGCACUAAUGUAUAACAGUGUAUGCUGAAGGUCCGGGGUUCAAUUCCCCGAGCGUCCA